GCCGGAAUAGCUCAGUUGGGAGAGCGUCAGACUGAAGAUCUGAAGGUCCCUGGUUCAAUCCUGGGUUCCGGCA
rnacentral:tRNA from 1 species